rnacentral:rRNA from 1 species
CCGUAAUAACGAACGAGACCUUAACCUGCUAAAUAGCCAGGCCGGCUUUUGCUGGUCGCCGGCUUCUUAGAGGGACUGUCAGCGUCUAGCUGACGGAAGUUUGAGGCAAUAACAGGUCUGUGAUGCCCUUAGAUGUUCUGGGCCGCACGCGCGCUACACUGACAGAGCCAGCGAGUUAUUUCACCUAGGCCGGAAGGUCCGGGUAAUCUUGUGAAACUCUGUCGUGCUGGGGAUAGAGCAUUGCAAUG